rnacentral:rRNA from 1 species
GGGGGGAGCAAGCGUUGUUCGGAUUUACUGGGCGUAAAGGGCGCGUAGGCGGUCAGCACAAGUCAGUUGUGAAAUCUCCGGGCUUAACUCGGAAAGGUCAACUGAUACUGUGCGACUAGAGUGCAGAAGGGGCAACUGGAAUUCUCGGUGUAGCGGUGAAAUGCGUAGAUAUCGAGAGGAACACCUGCGGCGAAGGCGGGUUGCUGGGCUGACACUGACGCUGAUGCGCGAAAGCCAGGGGAGCGAACGGGAUUAGAUACCCCGGUAGUCCUGGCCUUAAACGAUGGAUGCUUGGUGUCUGGAGUUUUAUAGUCUCCGGGUGCCGUAGCUAACGCGUUAAGCAUCCCGCCUGGGGAGUACGGUCGCAAGACKG